GAAUAAGAUUAAAAUAAAAUACGUAUUAGUUUUGCCCUACGCCCCAUGGCGGGUCGGGGUUUUUUAUACGGGUGGCCGCGAGGGUCAAUCCGAGGCGCGCGUGCGCGGUGGGAUGUCGCGUCGGCCACCUCGGUGACGAAGCGGCUCGCUCCGUGUGCAAAAAGGAAAGAUGGCGGCGUCGACGCUUGUGGGGCCCAGGGAGGCACCUUCGCCGGAGGAGAUUCACUCCCUGCCCUAGAAGGGCGCCUCUUCCGCGGCGCCCAGCGGGGAUUCGAACUUGCAGACCCCGAAGGACCUGUUGCCUUUGCAGGCGCCGAACCCACUGAGCCACCGCCGCCUCUUGGCUCCACCCGCUGAUCUUGGCUAAUCGGGAAACCGGAAGUAACCUUCGGGAAUCGACCCUAUGUCUCUCCAGCGAACGGAGCGCUGCUCUAAAGCCAUUACAAGCUGCGCCCCAGCGUCCAGUCCCUGCUCUUUAAUGCGAGGGUUUCUGCCUUAACACGUAGAAAAUCGGCGGUUUGGAGUUAAAACGUACGGAUCUCCAACUCUGGGCCGGAAUAUCUAAAGUUGAAGCUCUUGUGGGCGGAGCCGGAAAAUAAUUUUUUUGAACCUGGGGACUCCGUACUUGGGAAGCAGCCCUUUGCCUGCUACGCUACCGGGCCCGGCGGGAUCGCGCCUUGGAAU
rnacentral:lncRNA from 1 species